rnacentral:lncRNA from 1 species
UGCUACUGCAUUAUUACCAUGCCAUUAUUCAUCCGGGCUUAAAUCGGGCCAAAUCCGGUGUAAUAUUAAAGGGAAAAAAAAUUAUCUCGUUCAAUUUAUCGACCGACCUCUCCACCGCCGAUCGAAGAUACUCCGUUUUCCGUUGAUUUUCUAUUUCAGGUAUUUCUUUUUUGUCAUAAUUUUAAGCCCGAAAUGCUUCGUUUAAUUUAAGCGUAUCGAAUUCUUGAUACGUGUAUGGAUGAUUAUAAAGUUAUCGUCGAUAAUAUCAGUAUUUAUUUUCGAAACCCCAAUUGAACCCUUAGCUGUUGGAUUAUUUCACCGAUAUAUGGACCAUUGUAGAGUUUUCACCCAGAGGCUCGUCAAAUCACAAGUUUUCUUCAGAUUUUUAGAGUAAUAUAAAGUUCAAAGUUUUCAGCUAAAUUCUUUCUUUUUUUGGACUUUUCUUUUUGGAAUUUAUCUGAUGAUUAUGAAAUGUAAUCAUUAAUCAUGGUUUUGAAUAUUUAGGUAGUGCGUUAUGAAAUGACUUGAGUUUUGAAUGCUGGCAUUCUGUAUAAAACAUCAGAAGUUAGAGGAUUUUUAAUGUUAUCUUUGAACAGAGAAGUAACGUUUUAAUGUUCCAAACCACCAACAGGUUUGGUGGUAUUGAGGUAGAAACAGCACUUUAUAUGACCUACUUUUAGAGAGGCAAAAUUUAGUUUUGAAAAGGAGUCGAAAUGUUGUGUAAUUUAUUAUUAGUUACUAAAUCAAGUAGCAUGAAAUUGGAGCACGAGAAGUAUUAAUUUAGCUAAAGAGGAUCCGUAAGUGCUAACUUAAAACUUGGGAACAUGGACAUCUGAGCUUUUUUUUUUGUUUGUUAUCAUUUACUUAGUAACACAAGUUUGCAGUUAUUGAUAGCAAUAUUUGAUUUUUAUGUAUGGAAAGAUUCAAUUUUGCCAUCGUGUUGAUGGUGUAAGCUAUCUGUACAGGACGAUUAAGUCGACUUGGCCAUUUGAAUAGUUCAUUAACUUAUAUUAUAGUAUUUAAAGUCCUUGAUAUGUGUGGACUAAAUAGCAUUUAUACACAGGCUCAACGAAUUGAUGGUGGAAUUGUCUUCAUUAACUGCCUCCCUUUUUUGUUUGUUAAGUAGAAGUUCCCUGAAAUGUAACUGAAUAACAUCUAUCAAAGGACAGUCAUUUGGACGUUUUAACAAGAAUACAAAAUUGAAAUAUCUGCAUGAGCUGAGAUCAAUAGAAAUUUGUGCAAAACGUUAUUUCCUCUUUGUAAGGUAUUUUUUCUUCUGGAAAUCAAACUGAGAUAUGCACAUCCGUGAAACUCUUUUAAGUGGCUUGAAUGGCCUUCAGUUGCUCUUUUUUCCUGAAUUUUCUUAUUGAUUUUCAGACAUUUGAAUAAUUGUUUGAGUUUUGGUUCGUCUGACCUCCAUUUUUUUUUGUGUUGCAGGCAUAUUAUAUUCUUCUUUUACAGUUAAGAUUUGAGCUGUGAGUUUAAUGUGCCAUAGAUUGUAGUAUUACUAUAUUGCCAUGCACAACUGUGUUAACCGGUUUUCUAACACAGAAAGCGUGUGGACAUUGAUUCAAUGUCAGCAUCUAGCAAAUUUGAUCUAUCUUCUGGUAGCCCAGAUAGGCCUCUGUACUCAUCUGGGCGUCGUGGAUCCUACGCUACUGCUCUGGACAGAUCAGGUAGCUUUCGCGAGAACAUGGAGAAUCAAAUCUUAUCAACUCUUCCAAACAUGACAAGAAGCAGUUCUUCUGUGACACAUGGAGAUGUGAUGACUUUUUUUCAAUGUGUGCGUUUUGAUCCAAAGUCGAUGGUCGUGGACCAUAAGUUGAAUCGACCAGUGGCAUUUAAGCGACUUGCAACUGCUGCCGUUGGCAUCCCACUAGAAGAUCCUCUACCUGGAUCUUCAAAUAGCAAACCACCGCCUUCUCCAUCAUCAGAUGAUCUCAGACGACUCAGGGCUGGUGUACGGGAAGGUGGUAGUAAAGCUAGGUAGUUACCGCUUACUCUUUUUUUUUCUUUUUCAUAUGAAUUUUUACGAGGGAUAUGGAUAAUUUCUGAACUUACACCACGUAUCAGGGAACGUGUAAAGAUAUUCAAUGAUUGUUUAUCUGUAAUCAACAAAUGUUUCCCAACCAUUCCAUCAAGAAAAAGAUCCCGACUGGAUACCUUAUCAAAUGACCGAUCCAAUGCCUUGUUACCAACUGAUCGGUCAAGUUCAGGGAUGAGCAUCAGCAAAAUGGGAUCACAGAGUCAUGCCAGUACGAGUAGUUUUGAACUGGAGCAACAAAGAUCAGAAGAAAGGACAAAAAUUUUGAUUCCAAACAAGCGCACACGAACUUCUAUGGUAGACCCAAGGGUAUGUUUGGUUGCUUUCUUAAAAUGUUCUUUUCUCUGUACAGAAUUGAUGUGGUGGUCUUUAUGCAUUCAUUGUUGUUCUCAAGUUGUCUGCAUAUUUUUUUGUGCUUAAUUAUACUAGAAUGAUUAUGGAAGGCUGCUUUAUAAUGUUCUCCUCAUUAGCUACUAGCUCUCAUCCUUUUGUCUGAUUUCUUGUAUUAUAGGAUUGUAAUAACUUCUGUUUAGUCUUAAUUUUAUGUGAAUGAUUUCCUACUAUUGUUCUUACUUGUUUGAAAGUUAGUAUCUAAAUAAAGAUAAGCAUUAGGGUUCAAGGUGUUUUGCUCAGUUCUCUUUUUAUUUAUAUUUCCUUUUUAUCAAUUCGUAAUCUUGGUUGAUUACCUUUUGUCCAUCUUGAUUAUUCUUUCUGGUUGAAUUUAAUCUCCUGCUAAACUUUCCCUUGCUUUCUCUAUUGGGUUCUCUUCUUUAUUCAUUUGUACCUUCAAACGAUUUCAGUUGAUUUAUAUGGAUGUCCAGGCAAAUACCCCUGCAAGGCCAGCUGGAGUUAAGGACAAGGAUAGGGAGAUAAUAAGAUUUCCUAACAGUGGCAUGAUUAAUGGCGAGGAUCGAACAUCAUCCCUUACCGUUGAUGGUUGGGAGAAAUCAAAGAUGAAGAAAAAACGUACUGGAAUAAAGACAGACGGUACUGCAAGUUCAAUGGUGAUGAAAUCUGCUGAUGGCUACAGGGAGUCUAAGCAAGUAAUGCAGCCACGACUUCCUACUGAUGCCCGUUCAAGGAUGAAUGAUUCUUAUGGCGCCAGGUAUUGCUUCUCAUACUGUCACAGGUCAGGCAUCUGCUGGUGGUGAGAGAUUGAUUGCAUUUGUUUUUGUAGAGCAAGUUUUGCUAAGCCUAAAAGAAAGUUAAAGUUACUUCAAAGUGAAUUUUUGUUAUCAAACAUGUUUGGGUGGGUUAUGUGCUCUAGUUGCUUAUGUUGAUGGUAGGGGAGGGGUCACUUUUAAGUAACUGCAUAUUUCCAACUCUUACUGACCAAAAAAAAAAAAGGAAAAAAUCAUUUGAAUCCUUUCUUAUUUACUUAAAGACUUACUUAUUGGUGAUUUUAUGCUUAGCCAAACAUGUGCUUUAUGUUGUUAUGAAGUUGUUUGCGGUCAUUUGAGUAAUUGGAAUCCUAUUUUUAGCAAUUUACUUUUAUCAAACUGAACAAGGAGAAUUUUUUUGAAAUGAAGGGCUGUAAACUGAGAUUGGAUUCAUUUUGCCAAGAGUUUUGUUGAUAUUAACUUCUGUUAUGAUCUUUAAUUCAAUUUUAUUGGUCCUUUGGAUGAUUACAAGUUACAACAAUAUAGUCUACUAUUUUAAAGUAUAUGGUAUUUUUUUAAUUCCAUGGUUUUACAGAAAAGAAAUAGGUUAAUACAACUAUGUUGCUCACGCUUCAAAGUUUUCCCCCCUUACUUUCAUGGAUUCCAUCUUGUACUACCUUGUGUACUUAGCCCUUGUUUGAGCCCCAUUUUUGGGGGGGGAAAAAUGAAUUUUUGAAUAGUGUAUUUAUGGGAAAUAUGUGGUUAAAAAAUAAAGAAAAAUUUUAGAUUUACGUGUAAUAUUAUUUUAUUGAAGAUUGUGAUUGAAAUGAUGUCAAAAUAUUGUAGAAAAAUGCAUUUUUCCCCAAAGAAUGGGGAUCAAACAAGGGCUUAAUAUAUUUUAGCUCAUGUAACGAAAAUGUUAAAGCUCUGUACCUUCUCUGUUAUGAACUGUUGAUGGUUCAUCCACAUUUUUAUUCAUGUUCUCAGGUAGAAUCACAAAUUAGAGGCAUCUGUAGUGGAAACGAUAUGUUGUGAAGUCUGGUUUUAGUGCUUAUGGUCUUGGCAUUUUACUAUUUUAGAACGUGAUAGAUUAAUUGUUUAGACUAGAUAUGAUGUUUUAUAUCCUAUUCUGUUGUAUCGCUGAGUAUCUAAUCUCGUACCAGUUUUGGAGUUUCUUGAUCCAUCUGUGGAAUGCUGAUUUUAUAUAGUAUGUGGUCUUGAUUUUCUGUAUGCAGCGCACCACUUGUGACUUUUGAUGUUGGGUUAUGUGACUUAUGCUCGUUGAUUAAAUUUAGAGCACUUUUGGUUUCGAAAGUUCCUUUGAGAUUUUGCUUCACCUUCUGUUUGCUUGGUUGCCCAAUGACCUGCCCUAUAAAUUCAUGUUUCAACUGUCAGUUACCCUGUAAAUCUUCUCGGGAUCAGUAAAUGAUAGUAAAAUGAGGAACUUGACAGCUAAGUUGCACGCGACACGGACAUGACUCGACAAGGACACGCCAACAUGAUUUUUUGAAAAAGUAGGACACAGACAUGUUGGGGACACGAUUUUAAUUCUUUAAAAUUUUAAUUCAUAUGUUAAAUCGCUACUGGCUGGCAUGUCCAACACUUGCCCGAUGGGUGUCUAUAAAAUAUCUCGAGUGUUGGUUAUUUAAAGAUUAUAUAAAAGAAAUGGGGGCAAGGGCACAUGAUUGAGUACAUGUCCUUGAGUUUCCGCAGUGUGUCAUGGUCCGACAUGUCAUGUUCUAGUAGAAGUGUCUGUGCGUCAUAGCUUGACGGCCUCUGCUGUUGUCCUAUUUUCAGAACAAAUGUUUCUGUUUAAAUCUUUUGUAAACCCGAUUGGAUGCAACCAUCUUUUCUAUUGGAAAUUAGUAACUGCUGGGGAACCGUUUCAAUUUUUUUUUGUGUUAUUUUUUAAUUUCAUUUUUCUUUAUAUUGCUUGGGUCAAGCCUCAUUUUUUAUCCAAGUGAGGACUAUCAUUUUCCAAACCUAAUACUCUUAGCAUUAACCUUGAAGCAGACCUGGGAUUGCCAAUGGGAGUGUAGGAGUUGGAAAAGCUGAAUCCUCCUCGCAGCAGACUGGCUUAGGCACACGGCCUAUCUCUAGGGCUGAGCUGGACAACAGCCCCAUUCUUCAUGAGAGGAGAGAGCGUCCAACUGCUCCAGAGAAAGAAAGGGUGAAUCUUAGAGCUGUUAACAAGUAUGGAAAUUAUCAUCUCACUUUUCUUACUUAAAAAAUUUGGUUGAUUGCAUGGUUCCACGAUUUAUUCAUUUUUCUUCUUUUCGAUAUUUCUCUGGCAGUUGGAUUGGGACUGUAUGUGGGGAUGGGGUUCGCUUGUGUGCUUGGAUCCAUAUGUAUUACUUUUUUGGAUUUUCUUUUCCCUGGUGUAAAUAUCCCUCUUUCAUGUUAGAUAACUGUUUAUUUCUUUUGUUCCAUUAACCAGGGCAAAUGCCCGUGAAGAUUUCAGUUCAGGCAGCCCUACCUCUAGCUCAAAGUUGAAUGCAAAUGCUCAGGCUCCACAUUCUGGUACUGAAGGUGGUGUAUCCAAGUUCUCUCAAGUGGUGCAACUGGCUACAGAAUCUAAUGAUUGGGAGCUUUCUAACUGUACAAGCAAACUACCUGGUGCUGUUGGGGCUAAUAACUGUAAACGCACACCUUCAACGCGGUCUUCUUCACCUCCUGUUGCUAAUUGGGUCCAGAGACCGCAAAAGAUCUCUCGAACAGCAAGAAGAACUAAUAUUGUUCCUAUUGUCCCCAGCAAUGAUGAGACCCUUACCGUUGAUACGACAUCUGAGGUGACGAGGAAUGAAAGAUGCAUGCCUGGCCAUUCUCCUCGGCAAAUUAAACAAAUAAGUGACUUCUCUUCAGCUGCAUUUUCUGAAAGUGAGGAAUCAGGGGCUGCUGAAGCUAAGCCAAGAGACAAAAACAAGAAGUUUGAUGAGAUGGAUGAAAAAUGUGGACAAAAUAUCCAUAAAAUGUCAACCCUUCUGCUACCACCUAGAAAAAAUAAGGCAGCUAGUGGGGAAGACCAUGGAGACAGUGUCCGAAGGCAAGGGAGGAGUGGCCGUGGCUUUACUUCCACCAGGUCCCUCAUGACUUUAACAGUUGAAAAACAUGGAAAUGUCGGAACAACAAAACAAAUAAGAAGUUCAAGAUUUGGUUUUGAAAAAAAUGAAAGGUUCAAUAUAAUUUCCCUUUUCAUUUCAUCCCUCUUUUGCUUAUUUGCUCCUCCAUAAUGAGCGCUAACAUGUUUAUCCCGGCUCCAUUUUAUUCAAAAUGCAUUUUUCUCACUCUUAUUUUCAACUACAUAUUCUACAAUAAAAUAAUAAUAUUUGUAAAUCCAAAACUUUUCUUACUUUUUUAACCUCACAUUCUUAGAAAAAUCACUAUUUCAAAAUAUAUUUAUCUCCAAAAUUUGAUUUUUAUGGAGCCCAAACAAAGGCUUAUUCGUUUGAGAUCUUCUUAUAACUUGGUGAACAUUUUGUUCGACAGGGCAGGUCGACCACCUACGAGGAAACCCUCUGAUAGGAAGCCUUAUACACGUCAGAAGCACACAGUUAAUAUAGCACCAGAUUUUCUAGGUAAUUAACUUUGGUCUAAAUAUUUAAUUUGUUAUAUCUAUAUAACACAAUUAGCUGUAUGUGUUUAUUACUGUUUUUUAUUUUUUUCCUUUCAAUUUUUUUAGUUGGUUCAGAUGAUGGGAAUGAAGAGCUGUUGGCUGCUGCAAAUGCUGUUACAAAUACUGGUAUUUUUUUUAAAUAGAAAAAGUUGUUUCUCAAUUUCUUAGAAUAUUUUCUUUUUGUGGCAUUGAUUUGUUUGUUGUGAUUACAGCACUAGCCCUUUCUAACUUGUUCUGGAGGAAGAUGGAACCUCUGUAUCGUCUCAUAUCUGAUACAGAUAUUGCAUAUCUGAAAGACCAGGUACCUAUGUUGUAUUUGAAGAACUCUUGAGCUAUGAUCCAGCAAGAAGCGACUUCUUCUAGCUCCUGAUGUAUAGCAAUCAAAUGUC